rnacentral:rRNA from 1 species
GCUAGCGGCGAUAGAACGUCAAAUACACCAGUUCCCAAUGCAUCACUGGAGUUAAGCAACGUUACGCGUGGCAGUUCCCCGAUGGUUCACUGAAGCAACGUUGUGUGUGGUUAGUAUCCAGAUGGGUGAUCAUCUGGGCAACCUUGUGCUACUGGCU